UGUAUAUAAAUAUGUGUACAUAUAAAUAUACACUUUUUUUUAAUAGAUAUACAGACACACUUGAUGUCUUAGUCACAUCACACAACAAGCUCUCAGCUAGCCCACUAGAGGGCGCUGCUGGGUGCAUGCGAACAACAGGAGCGUUUAAAAAAAAUAAAAAUACGACACGUUUUGGACAUUUUAUUGACUAUUGUUUUAGCAUGUCAGCAUGAUGCUGUGUACACGCCAUCUUGGAAAGACAAGAGUUUGCUGCAUACAAUUUAAUAAUAUUCAUAAUACAUUUUAUGCCGUUUUACAUGAUUUCAAUAAAGCAUGUGAAAUCAUCUUUCCUUUCUGGAGCUUUGUCCAUCUGAUGACAAAUAAAGUGCUGACUUCUCUGAUAAACCUGUUGACUAUAAACAUCAAAAAUAACUUUGCAUCCGUACAAACAGCACAACAACGCUUAAGGCACCUUAAUUUAGUGACACCGCAAGACCGCGUGUGGUCCAUAAUGGCCACCAGGUGGCAGUAGUGAUAAAGCUGCAUGGUAUAAAUACAAGUGCUGAAGAAAACAAACACAAAGUUGACAUUUCUUCUAGAAGGUGAACCUGUGCUCGACCGCGUGUCCCACCUUGUCCAGGUUGGGGUUGCAGGCGAACUGGAUCAUGGGAGGGGGUCCGCACAUCAGGACGAGGACGUCAUCGGCGGGCGGCGGCAGAUGUUCCCUCAUCAUGUCCUCGUUGAUGAAACCCUCGCUGUACUCCCACUCUGACAUGACAUGCAAACAUGUCAGCACAUUGUUGGCGUGUACACACUAAACAUAAACAUCACUUACAGCCUUAUUUUCAUCGCUUGCCACAGUCAACAGUCCUACUGCACCCCUCACCUCCCCAGGGGUGAUCAAGGGUGAUGGGUCAAAUGCAGAGAAUAGAUUUGACUUUAACUCCCAGGUUUCUUUUUGCUUUUCGUGCGGUUGAAGCAGCCUAACUAAAACUAUUUUUAAAUGAGGUUUUUCAAAACGUUGCGCUAAUUUUAUAAAAGUGACACUAAUUUUUGAAGCGUUUUUAAAAAGCUUUCUAACAAUACUUUAUUUGCACUCAAAUUAAUGCUUAGUUUGAAAAGCAUUUGAGGUUUUACUUUUAUUACUACAAAGUUACAAAACAUUCAAGUAGACACUAGAUGGCAGUAAAAACACAUUGUCAUUUGUCUCAUUGUUUCACGCUUGAAAGGUUUUAGUCAAACUUAUAUUUAUGUUUCAACGAUAGCUUUAUUGCGGUGAUUUUUGGCGAUAUAUGAGAAAUAAUCAUCAAACUAACACGUCAGUCAAUGCAAACAAGAAAGUACUUAAUGUUUGUGUACUACAUUACCCAGAAUGCAGUAGACGGGAACAGGAAGAGGCUCUUAGUAAAUAUGGAAGUUAGAGUAGGGAUGUAACGAUAUGAACAUUUCAUAUAAGCUGUAUUGUUGAAUGUGAACAUUGAAAUCUUUCACAAAGUUUUUUUUUUUUUUUUUUUUUUAAAUACAAUACCUGUAAAAAUUUGACAGAAAAGAUUUUCUUGGCAGAGGAAACAUUAAAUAUUGUUCUGGAUUUUUAAGAGCUUACUAGAUGAGGCGGCGACUUGUCCAGGGUGUACUCCUCCUUUAGCCUGAAUGCAGCAGAGAUAAGCUCCAGCACCCCUCGCGACCCCAAAAGGGACAAGCGGUAAAAAGUGGAUGGAUGGAUAGUUGAGUGUAAUGUCUUUUUUUUUCCCACCAAUUUUAAAUUUGUAAAAGUUUUGGAAUGUUUUUUUUUUUUUUUUUGAGUUAAGGCCAAUUGAAUGUUCACUAAAGUUCAUGUCCGGUUUAUGUGACACAAAUUUACUUUCUAUUGUAGAAAUAUUUGUCUUUGUUAAUAAAGUUGCCAAAAAAAAAAAAACACUGUCAACAUUGAUCACUCCGAAGAAAACACUGCUUGUAUGUUCAAAGUGCACAGUAGAAUAUCUCAGAUGUUCAGACAGUAACAUGUUAAUACGAGUACAUGUAUUGUUAAGUUGUUUCCUAAUGUUGAAAGAUGUUAAUGUCUCCUGUGUUCAUAUGAACAUGUAAGCGAGCUUGUGCCAGUCGGUCCGGGACAUUAUCAGAGUGUGGCUAUCAUUCACGUUUUUCCCGGUCAUUUUGAUUUAAACCGGUAAUACUAAGUGUCAAGACGUUAUACUGCAGUUAUCAUUAAUACUCUUUAAAGGCCUACUGAAAGCCACUACUAGCGACCACACAGUCUGAUAGUUUAUAUAUCAAUGAUGAAAUAUUAACAUUGCAACACAUGCCAAUACGGCCGCUUUAGUUUACUAAAUUGCAAUUUUAAAUUUCCCGCAAAGUAUCCUGUUGACAACGUUGCGGAAUGAUGACACGUAUGAUGACACGUGCGCGUGACGUCACCGAUCCAAGCUAUAAGUAGUCUGCUUUAAUCGCAUAAUUACACAGUAUUCCGGACAUCUGUUUUGCUGAAUCUUUUGCAAUCUGUUCAAUUAAUAAUGGAGAAGUCAAAGAAGAAAGAUGUAGGUGGGAAGCGGUGUAUUGCAGCUGCCUCUAGCAACACAAACACAUGCGGUGUUUACUUGGUUACAUUCCCGAAGGUGAAGCUUUACUAUGGAACAGAGCGGUCAAGCGUACAUGGUUCCCGACCACAUGUCAACCGGCAGGUUUCGGUGAGGAAAUUGUGGUAAUAAAUUGGCUCUUACUGUAGACACGAGCGGAGCUUGCGCCCUCCUGCAGCUGCGGACUGUUACCUCCUCCCACCGGAGACACUGGCGGUCACCAAACCCGUGGCCACACCCCUCCGACUUUCAGGCCCUGUGAUGAGGUGGCGAUUUGUCCAAGGUGUACCCCUUCUUUCGCUCAAAUGAAGCUGGGAUAGGCUCCAGCACUCCUGCGACCCAGAGAGGGACAGGUGGUAGAAAAUGGAUGGAUGGAGGACAACAUUGACUUAUGUUUUUUUUGGUUGCCUUUUAAAAACGUCGGAAUCAACUUCUGUUUGCAUCCAAAACAUCACACGGUGCACAUUACUGCCCCUACAGGACUGGAGUGGCGGCGUCAUUUCAACACAAGCGCUCACCUCUGCCCUUGUAGACGAGAAGGCCGCUGGGUCCUCUAAAGUCGAUGGUGUCGUUAAUCCGGAGGUUCUCCAGGUGCUGACUCAUCUUCCCGCCUUCUGGGAAUUUAGGAUGGACCCCUUUGAAGUAAACCUGGGGGGAGGGAGGGGACGUAUGAGAAAAUAUUGCACAAGUUUAAAGCGACUGAUUUUGUUACCUUGAUGACCAAGUCCACGUAGCCUUUGUCGUCGUCGCUGGACACGGGCGUGUACGGGCGCACCACCAGCUUGCCCUCAAUCUUGGCGGACAGAUAGAUGUGCUGUCCUGUGAAGGACAUCACCACACUUAGUCUGACACGCGCAGACCUAUCAUGUUGUCAAAUGUGUCGACACUGACCCACAGGGAGACCCAGGACGUGGUCAUGGGACGGCAGGGCAAAGCGGAACUUCCUCGUAUCGUGGCUGACAAUCUAUAAAUAAUAAACAUGAACAAAAACUACAACAUUGGGCAUAAAAUUCUGUGUGACUGCAAAAAAGAUGAAGCCAAACAUUUAGCACGCCGAUUACCGUAUUUUCUUGAAUAUAGUAUGCACCUGCCUAGAAUUACUGCCGGGUCACACUCGUUUCGCAAAAUAGUUAGCGCAUACUUAGCAUGACCGCCGGCUCAGGAUUAACGCCGGGUCAAACUCGUUUCGCUAAAUAUUAUUUUUAUUAGCGCAUGCCUACAAUUUACGCCGGGUCAAACUCGUUUCGUUAAAUAAUUAGCAUAUGCCUAGAAUUUCCACAGGAUCAAACUCGUCACGUCUUGAGUGACACUUCACUUGUCAUCAUUUUCAAAAUGGAGGAGGCUGAUUUCAAUAAUUUGAAAUCGCAUAAAGGGAAGAAGAUUAAGAGCUAUUCAGUAGGAUUUACGUUCCAAGCUAUUGAAUAUGCUAAAAAGAACAGGAAGCAGCUAUGUUUUAUUAAUAUACCGUAGCUGCGUGUGUCAAAUAUGAGUCAUUAAAUGACUCCCGCCUCCUGGUGGUAGAGGGCGCUAGUGAUCCUUCUUGCGACUACUCGGCUGCAGAAGAAGUGACAACAAGCAGCAAGAGUGAGCAGCAUGUGUUUAUUUUUUUCCUCUCGCUUGCACUUUUAACAUGGAGGAUUACAUAUCUAAAAUAAAACAGUUUUCUAAAAAUCUCCAUCAAGGCAGAGAUACUUUUAAAACUGAAGAAAGAUAAGGAAGACUUCAAUAAACAAGUUAUUGAUGUUUUUGAUCAGAAGGAGCUACGCAUGGACUUCAUUUAUUAGUAAAGGUAAGACCAGAAUAAUGUUUUUUUUUAUUGAAUCUGCUUUUCAUGAUGGUAUCCUUACAUCACACUCAAAUUCCAGGCUUAGACCGAAUUUUUUUAUUUUAUCUAAUUUAAAUCUUUUCUUUUUUCCCCAUUCCCCCCACUUGUUUACCUGUAUCUCACCUUUUUUGUAAGGGGCGCCGGAAGUUGGCAGACCCUUCAGCGAUCUUGUUCUGUCUACCUGCAAUGUUUGUCUGAUCUGGAAUGGGAUUUUGUUGAAAAUGUUAAUUUCCCCUCGGAGAUUAAAUAAUAAAUGGGU